rnacentral:rRNA from 1 species
AUUGAACGCUGGCGGCAUGCCUUACACAUGCAAGUCGAACGGCAGCACGGGUGCUUGCACCUGGUGGCGAGUGGCGAACGGGUGAGUAAUAUAUCGGAACGUACCUUAUUGUGGGGGAUAACGCAGCGAAAGCUGUGCUAAUACCGCAUAAUCCCUUCGGGGGAAAGCGGGGGACCGCAAGGCCUCGCGCAAUUAGAGCGGCCGAUACCUGACUAGCUAGUUGGUGAGGUAAAGGCUCACCAAGGCGACGAUCAGUAGCUGGUCUGAGAGGACGAUCAGCCACACUGGGACUGAGACACGGCCCAGACGCCUACGGGAGGCAGCAGUGGGGAAUUUUGGACAAUGGGGGCAACCCUGAUCCAGCAAUGCCGCGUGAGUGAAGAAGGCCUUCGGGUUGUAAAGCUCUUUUGUCAGGGAAGAAACAGCAGCUCUAACACAGUAUGCGUAUGACGGUACCUGAAGAAUAAGCACCGGCUAACUACGUGCCAGCAGCCGCGGUAAUAC